rnacentral:rRNA from 1 species
UACGUAGGGUGCAAGCGUUGUCCGGAAUUAUUGGGCGUAAAGAGCUCGUAGGUGGCCUGUCGCGUCGGCUGUGAAAACUCGGGGCUCAACUCCGAGCUUGCAGUCGAUACGGGCAGGCUAGAGUUCGGCAGGGGAGACUGGAAUACUUGGUGUAGCAGUGAAAUGCGUAGAUAUCAAGUGGAACACCAGUGGCGAAGGCGAGUCUCUGGACAUUUCCUGACGCUGAGGCACGAAAGCCAGGGGAGCAAACGGG